GAUGAAGAACGUAGCGAAAUGCGAUAAGUAGUGUGAAUUGCAGAAUUCAGUGAAUCAUCGAAUCUUUGAACGCACAUUGCGCCCUUUGGUAUUCCUUAGGGCAUGCCUGUUCGAGCGUCAUUUAAACCUUCAAGCUCAGCUUGGUGUUGGGUGACUGUCCGCUUCACCGCGGACUCGCCUCAAAAUUAUUGGCGGCCGGUACAUUGGCUUCGAGCGCAGCAGAAACGCGAACUCGGGCCCGUCGUAUUGGCUCCCAGAAGCUAUCUUCACAAUUUUGACCUCGGUUCAGGUAGGGAUACCCGCUGAACUUAAGCAUAUCAAUAAGCGGAGGA
rnacentral:misc_RNA from 1 species